GGGUCAAUGAUGAGCAUUUUAUAUUGUCUGGAGGAGCGGUGAUGACUGAAAGUUUGACAUGAUGCUGAGGCCC
rnacentral:snoRNA from 1 species